rnacentral:rRNA from 1 species
UCCAGACUCCUACGGGAGGCAGCAGUGAGGAAUAUUGGUCAAUGGGCGAGAGCCUGAACCAGCCAAGUCGCGUGAGGGAGUACUGCCCUAUGGGUUGUAAACCUCUUUUGUCGGGGAGCAAAAGCCGGACGUGUCCGGCUGUGAGAGUACCCGAAGAAAAAGCAUCGGCUAACUCCGUGCCAGCAGCCGCGGUAAUACGGAGGAUGCGAGCGUUAUCCGGAUUUAUUGGGUUUAAAGGGUGCGCAGGCGGAAGAUCAAGUCAGCGGUAAAAUCGAGAGGCUCAACCUCUUCGAGCCGUUGAAACUGGUUUUCUUGAGUGAGUGAGAAGUAUGCGGAAUGCGUGGUGUAGCGGUGAAAUGCAUAGAUAUCACGCAGAACUCCGAUUGCGAAGGCAGCAUACCGGCGCUCAACUGACGCUCAUGCACGAAAGCGUGGGUAUCGAACAGGAUUAGAUACCCUCGUA